rnacentral:rRNA from 14 species
CGGCGAGUUACCGUUUUUGGCUUGGUUAAGGUCUUACGGACCGAAGCCUCAGGGAAACCGAGUCUUAAUAGGGCGAAUUGUCAAGGGCGGUAGACGCGAAACCUGGUGAACUACCCAUGAGCAGGUUGAAGCGCGGGUUGUACCGCGUGGAGGACCGAACCCACUUAGGUUGAAAACUGAGGGGAUGACUUGUGGGGAGGAGUGAAAGUCUAAUCAAACCAGGAGAUAUCUCGUUCUCUCCGAAAUAGCUUUAGGGCUAGCGUCGAUGUUAAGUCUCUUGGAGGUAGAGCACUGUUUGGGUGAGGGGUCCAUCCCGGAUUACCAAUCUCAGAUAAACUCCGAAUGCCAAUGAGAUAUAAUCGGCAGUCAGACUGCGAGUGCUAAGAUCCGUAGUCGAAAGGGAAACAUCCCAG